rnacentral:rRNA from 1 species
GGUGACCAGCGGAGGGAUCAUUAAAGAGUUCUAUAACUCCCAAACCCAUGUGAACAUACCUAACGUUGCCUCGGCAGGUCGCACCUACCUUGUAGCACCCUACCCUGUAGGGCCUACCCGGGAGGUGCGGGUAAGCCUGCCGGCGGCCCACCAAACUCUGUUUGAUAUUGAAUUCUGAACCUAUAACUAAAUAAGUUAAAACUUUCAACAACGGAUCUCUUGGUUCUGGCAUCGAUGAAGAACGCAGCGAAAUGCGAUAAGUAAUGUGAAUUGCAGAAUUCAGUGAAUCAUCGAAUCUUUGAACGCAUAUUGCGCCCAUUAGUAUUCUAGUGGGCAGGACCGUUCGAGCGUCAUUUCAACCCUUAAGCCUUCGUUGCUUAGUGUUGGGAGCCUACGGCAACGUAGCUCCUCAAAGUUAGUGGCGGAGUUGGUUCACACUCUAGACGUAGUAAUUUUUUAUCUCGCCUAUUAGUUGGACUAAUCCCCUGCCGUAAAACCCCCAAUUUAUCAAGGUUGACCUCGAAUCGGUUCAGACAAACUCGCUAAAUUGAAGCAUCUUAGUCAGCGAAGGAAAAGAAACCAACAGGGAUUGCCCUAGUAACGGCGAGUGAAGC